UACGUAGGGACCAAGCGUUGUUCGGAUUUACUGGGCGUAAAGGGGCGCGUAGGCGGCGUGGUAAGUCACUUGUGAAAUCUCUGAGCUUAACUCAGAAACGGUCAAGUGAUACUGCUGUGCUAGAGUGCAGAAGGGGCAAUCGGAAGUUCUUGGUGUAGCGGUGAAAUGCGUAGAUAUCAAGAGGAACACCUGAGGUGAAGACGGGUUGCUGGGCUGACACUGACGCUGAGGCGCGAAAGCGUGGGGAGCGAACAGG
rnacentral:rRNA from 1 species